rnacentral:rRNA from 1 species
UGGGGAAUCUUGCGCAAUGGGCGAAAGCCUGACGCAGCAACGCCGCGUGCGGGACGAAGGCCUUCGGGUUGUAAACCGCUUUCAGCAGGGACGAAACUGACGGUACCUGCAGAAGAAGCCCCGGCCAACUACGUGCCAGCAGCCGCGGUAAUACGUAGGGGGCGAGCGUUGUCCGGAUUUAUUGGGCGUAAAGAGCUCGUAGGCGGCUGGGCAAGUCGGGUGUGAAAACUCCAGGCUCAACUUGGAGAGGCCACUUGAUACUGCCCUGGCUCGAGUCCGGUAGGGGAGCGCGGAAUUCCUGGUGUAGCGGUGAAAUGCGCAGAGAUCAGGAGGAACACCGGUGGCGAAGGCGGCGCUCUGGGCCGGUACUGACGCUGAGGAGCGAAAGCGUGGGGAGCGAACAGG